rnacentral:rRNA from 1 species
AUUGAACGCUGGCGGCAGGCCUAACACAUGCAAGUCGAACGAGUGGCGGACGGGUGAGUAAUGUCUGGGAAACUGCCUGCUGGAGGGGGGUAACUACUGGAAACGGUAGCUAAUUCCCCCUAUCCUCUCAUGUGCCCAGAUGGGUUUAGCUUGUGGGUGGGGUAACGGGUUACCUAGGCGACGAUCCCUAGCUGGUCUGAGAGGAUGACCAGCCACACUGGAACUGAGAAACGGUCCAGACUCCUACGGGAGGCAGAGUUGGGGAAUAUUGCACAAGGGGCGCAAGCCGGAUGCAGACAGGCCGGGUGUAUGAAGAAGGCCUUGGGGUUGUAAAGUACGUUCAGCGGGGAGGCGUUAACCGAAGAAGAAGCACCGGCUAACUCCGUGCCAGCAGCCGCGGUAAUAC